AAAUUUUGUGCGAAAUAUGACAACAGAAUUCAAAUAAUGAAAGUAGGCUGUCCGACAGAAGUAAAAAGAAAGCCUGUGCAAGCUAAAGAACAAUGAAAAAUGGCCGCAUUUUAUAUGACAUAAUUUGAUGCUUGACAGUCCGUGCACCCUCGGUAAAAGCUGUAUAGUUUAAUUAGUUUUGCAUUCUUAGCGCCAUCUGAAUUUCGAGGAGUAGAAGCUUUUUAGUCCAAGCUUUCAAGACCCUGUUAUAUCAGUACAAUCAAAAAAAGCUAGUUAGCGCCCUCUACGUUUAAUAACGAAAUGCAAUUAAGCACUUGCUGACGUCAAUCAGCGGAUUGCCUCAAAGACUUGAAAGAAAACACAGCUCAGACUGCCUGGACGAAUUCUUUCUGUAUUCCAGACAGAUGACUUACAAAAUUGGCUCUAACUCAGAGAGUUAUUGAGCUACAAAAAUGGUUCAUAUAUAAAAUCAUUCUCUAAAAAACUCUUCAACUUUCGAUGAAAGUUCCAUUGAGUUAGGACUGCUCUAAUUCAUUUAAUACUAGGGCUCAGUUCCAAUGGUACUCAAAAGUGUGCUCGAGAGGUACCAUGGCUCACAAAAUGGACUCUAACUUAGAAAGUUGAUGA